GACGAACGCUGGCGGCGUGCUUAACACAUGCAAGUCGAACGCUGAAGCUCAGCUUUUGUUGGGUGGAUGAGUGGCGAACGGGUGAGUAACACGUGAGUAACCUGCCCCCUUCUUUGGGAUAACGCCCGGAAACGGGUGCUAAUACUGGAUAUUCACUGGUCUUCGCAUGGGGGUUGGUGGAAAGGGUUUUUCUGGUGGGGGAUGGGCUCGCGGCCUAUCAGCUUGUUGGUGGGGUGAUGGCCUACCAAGGCUUUGACGGGUAGCCGGCCUGAGAGGGUGACCGGUCACAUUGGGACUGAGAUACGGCCCAGACUCCUGCGGGAGGCAGCAGUGGGGAAUAUUGCACAAUGGGCGCAAGCCUGAUGCAGCGACGCCGCGUGAGGGAUGGAGGCCUUCGGGUUGUGAACCUCUUUCGCUCAUGGUCAAGCCGCAACAAUGGUUGUGGUGAGGGUAGUGGGUAAAGAAGCGCCGGCUAACUACGUG
rnacentral:rRNA from 1 species